CAGAGGAAGCAACAGAUGUCGGAGCA
rnacentral:piRNA from 1 species